CAUGCCGAGAGAGGAGUUUGGAUUGGUCUGCGGUGUUGCACUUGUGUCUCUCAAAAGAUACUGUAUAACACUAGCCAUGGAGAACUGCAAAUAUGUUACUACUGCUUUCAAUAACAUUUCUGCCCUGAAUUUAUCAGGCGCUAUCAACAAAGGUCAGUGGGGAAAAGUUGUGAUGGACUACUUUCUGGAGGACGAUCGUGCCAUGCUAACUCUCUCUGACUCUGAAAAUGAAUCAGACAAUGAGGAAAUCCCUGAUUUAGGUAAAAACGUUACAUGUCUUAACAAAAGAGUCCAAGUUAAAGCAUGCUGUAAACUAGCUAACGUUAGCGGAGGUUAGAUGGCUGGCUUGCUAACGUUACUCUAUGGAUUGGGAUUUUUGUUCAUUUUUUUAGCUAGCUAAUAUUACAUGUCUAAACAAAAGACUCCAAGGUAAAGCUUGCUGGUUACACCUGAAGCAUGAGGACUUGCUGCGAGUGGUGAACUUUACCAACAACUAUGCAGAGGAUAAUACAAUAGUAUUACCAGGAUGCCACCCAGGACACAAACACUUUGGUGGAAAGCUGCUGCCAUCCCAUGUGACAAAAGCAGUGGUGUGGCGUCUCUACAAGGAAUCGAUGACAACACUUGAGGUAUGUGUAGUCGGGCUGUCUUCCUUCAGGAAUCUGUGGAGAAAAUUGCUGCCCCACAUCUCAAGCACUAAGCCGAGGGCAGACCUGUGCUGGCAGUGCCAGAGGAACAACUAUCAGAUCGGCCAAUCUGCCAGAAGCUGUUAAGUCAGCCAAGCUGAAGAAGCAAGAGCAACAUCUGCUUGUUCAGAGUGAGCGGUCUUGUCUACCAGAAGGUGGUUGCUGACUGCAAGACCAGCUGUCAAGACCUGCAGUUGUCUCAGUGGGCCCCUACUGAACCAGGAAGCAAAGACAUCAGGAUGCAUUGCAUCUUUAAUUUUGCUCAACAAGUGCACUAUCCUUCUGACCCUAUGCAGCCAGGUCCAGUCUACUUUUUAACUCUUCGCAAGUGUGGCUUGUUUGGUGUCUGCUGUGAAGGAAUACCACAAGUCAACUACUUGAUUGAUGAAUGCAUGUCAUCCAGCAAAGGCAGCAGUACAGUCAUCAACUACAUGCACCAUUGUUUCACCAACUACAGAGUUGAGGAAACACGUGUGGACCUGAAUUGUGAUAACUGCAGUGGCCAAAACAAGAACAAGUUUGUGCUUUGGUAUUGUGCCUGGUGGACCAUACACUAGCUCCACCACGGUCUGGACCUUCACUUCCUGAUCACAGGCCACACCAAGUUUGCCCCCAACUGUUGCUUCGACCUCAUCAAGCAGCGCUUCAGAAAGACCAGAGUGAACACUGUCUGAGAUUGCUGUCCUUCACAACACCAGCACUGUGACGGGUCAACAUCUCACAGCUGGUUGGACUGGAGGAUGGUACGGUACUGGUGGAAAGCUAUGGCUGGCAACAACACCUGACUUCGUAUGACUCCAUACUUCAGGCCACUGCCACAGAUCAAGCAGUACCAGCUCCUCAGCUUCGAUGCUCUGGAGUCUGGUGUUGUCGCCAAGGAGCGUUCGGUUGGAGCGCUCAGUUGGGACCAGGUUUCCAACGCUGACAUUCUUCCUCCCAUAGAUGGUCUGCCUGUACAAGCACCACCUGGACUGGAUACAGCUAGACAAACUUAUAUUUUUGAGAAGAUCAGGGAGUUUUGCGAUGAAGAGGCUAUGGACAUCACAUGCCCUGCACCAAAGUCAAGGGCAGGACAUAAACGGGCUCUCUGAAUAUAGAUUCCUUUGUUCAUGCAUGGUUCGGAUGGACCAGUCAUCAGCACUACCUCUAUUCAAAUUACUCUCAGUACAUUGCUGCUACAAUUUCUUUUAUCCUGCUGCUAACUCUCGUCUAUCACUGAUAUCGUUAUUGAUAUUGUUCUUGUACAUACUGUAUAUUUUAUGUAUAUUGACAAUAUAUCUAUUUCUGAUAUUGCAAGUAACCAUUUGGCUGUACCGUGUACACCUUCUGUAGAGACCAGUCACUUAGCAAGACUUAGCAAAAUAUUGAUAUGUGUGGUCGUAACAUGACUUGACAUACCACAAAAAUAUGUGACCGUAUCACGUGUCCACCACAAAUAUGGCGCAUUAAUCUGUUUAUAUACUGUACAUGUGCACCUCACGCAGGUUUCAAAUCAGGUUGCAUGGCCUUAACUUAUGUGAUAUGUGUAACAGUAUAUAAAGUAUGCUAAUGUACUGGUGUGAAGGCAUUUGGGCAGUGGUGUAAAAAUACUUCAAAGUACUACUUAAGUAGUAUCUGUACAUUACCAUUUAUAUUUGGCAAAUUUACUUCACUACAUUUGUAAAGAAAAUAAUGUACUUUUUACUCCAUACAUUUUCCUUGACACCCAAAAUGAAGGAAAGGUAGGAAAAGAAAAUUGUCCAAUUCAUACACUUAUCAAGAGAAUAUCCCUACUGCAUCUGAUCUGGCAGGCUCACUAAACACAAAUGCUUAGUUUGUAAAUUGUUGGAGUGUGCCGCUGGCUAUCCGUCAAUAUAAAAAUACAAUUGCGCCGUCUGGUUUUAUGAGGCAUUUAAAGUUAUUUAUACAUUUACUCAAGUAUGACAAUUUAGUACUUUUUCCACCACUAGAUGUGGCUGGGGGUUGUAGCAUUUAUUUCACAUGACCCAUCAAUGUAGACAAGUGUGUCUGGGAAUGUAUCAUCUAAUAUUUAGAACCUUUUUAUCUGGACACUGUUUACAUGGAAUUGUUCCUCAUUGUAGGCUACUACCACUUUUAGUCUUAAUCUUUACUACACACUGUUUAGCACAUGACCUCACAUGUGAAUCCUUAAAGAGAUGGGUGGGGCUGGUUUAAGAGGGUGUGAACAAUGCUGAAUGGGUGUAGACAAAGUAGAGCUCUCCAGUAUGUAACAACUUUCAAAGGCCCUUUUCUCAAAAGUGAGUUUAUCAACUUUCCCAUUGCUCCUAAAAAAUGCAGUGUAUGAUAUACCAUUUUGUAGCUCUGAGUCUCAGCUUUUAUCCAAUGUAAAAAAUAAAAAAUAAACUAUUUCAAAAUUUGCGACAUAAGACCGAUUUUAGCUGGUCAGUCACAAAUAGGACCUGCCUAGAGGUAGUUAACCGCCCAUCUCUGAUCUAUAUUUCCCAUUCUACAAAUUACCCCACAUUUAAAAAUAAAUAAAUAAUGAAUAUCAAUCUUCAGGUGGUUGAAGCUGAUUUACAAAAACCUUUCCAUCAUCUUAAUCUACAUAGGUAAGAUCUACUGUUUUUGCCUAGCAGCGUGAGCACAAUACUAACAUGACAACAUUUGAUUGUUUUUGUCAAGGGGCAUUUCAUUAUAACCUAUUCUCAUUUUAUGACUUAGCCUAUAUUCAACACUGUCCAGUAAUGCAUAGCCCUCAUUGAACUUGACAUUUAUUUUCAAAGAUACACUGAACCGCUAAUGGCGCUGGAGGGGGAUGGCUACAAUUUUAUAGGCUCCUAACCAACUGUGCUAUUUUGUUUGUUUUGUCAUUUUUUUGUACAUUAUGUUGCUGCUACUCUCUCUUAUGACCAAAAAGAGCUUCUGGACAUCGGAUGGACCAGUCAUCAGCACUACCUCUAUUCAAAUUACUCUCAGUACAUUGCUGCUACAAUUUCUUUUAUCCUGCUGCUAACUCUCGUCUAUCACUGAUAUCGUUAUUGAUAUUGUUCUUGUACAUACUGUAUAUUUUAUGUAUAUUGACAAUAUAUCUAUUUCUGAUAUUGCAAGUAACCAUUUGGCUGUACCGUGUACACCUUCUGUAGAGACCAGUCACUUAGCAAGACUUAGCAAAAUAUUGAUAUGUGUGGUCGUAACAUGACUUGACAUACCACAAAAAUAUGUGACCGUAUCACGUGUCCACCACAAAUAUGGCGCAUUAAUCUGUUUAUAUACUGUACAUGUGCACCUCACGCAGGUUUCAAAUCAGGUUGCAUGGCCUUAACUUAUGUGAUAUGUGUAACAGUAUAUAAAGUAUGCUAAUGUA